rnacentral:lncRNA from 1 species
GUUUUUAAUUUUGAUGAAUUUGCUGGAUACCCUCGUCAUGCUCUUGUGGAAAGAAAAAUAAAAAUACAGGGUUAGACUAGUGCAUGAAACUCUCGCCAUUGCGGGAUUUAGAGAGAGGUGGAUAUACGCAGCUUUAUUCUGCAAGCGGAGAGACUAUUUUCGUGACUCGAGCCCCAUGACAACCAGGUCACAAUGGAGUAACCUUACUGUUGCGCUGAAAAGUAAUGGAAAAAAAAAUUAAAUCUGAACAUCUGAAUUGUUUUAUUUUCUUUCCCACUAAAUUUUUAAACCACACACCUUAAGGCUAUAUUUGGAUUAAUGAUUUAGUUGGAGGAAAAAGAAACGAAAUGAAAAAGUUAUAGAAUUCAAUGGUUCAAGACGAUUGAAUCUUUUAACUUCCUUCUUUUUUCCUUCAUCAAAUCUUUAAUCUCAAACAUAGGGUAAGAAAUUAUUUACCAGCAAAGUUACGGUUGAUGAAUUGGGUGUUGAAACAUGAUUGAUUUCCCAGUUAAUGGUCUUCAUGUGUCUUGUAGCAUGUUGUGUUGAACAAGCCAUGUGAACCCUUUCUUCUUUUAUUGCAUCGACCCUGAAAUUGAAACAAUUAAAAGAUUGG